CCGCACGCGGGAGGCUCUGACACGCGGCCCACACUCGGCCGCCGGGACCGCGCCGAGCCACUGGCGAGACCGAUCCGCGGGAGG
rnacentral:ncRNA from 1 species